UACGAAGGGGGCUAGCGUUGCUCGGAUUCACUGGGCGUAAAGGGUGCGUAGGCGGUCGGGUAAGUCUGAUGUGAAAUCUCACAGCUUAACUGUGAAACUGCAUUGGAUACUAUCCGGCUCGAGGAAUGGAGGGGAGACUGGAAUACUUGGUGUAGCAGUGAAAUGCGUAGAUAUCAAGUGGAACCCCAGUGGCGAAGGCGAGUCUCUGGACAUUUCCUGACGCUGAGGCACGAAAGCCAGGGGAGCAAACGGG
rnacentral:rRNA from 1 species